rnacentral:other from 1 species
ACAUCUCUGCUGCGUGCGAGUUGUCUGAGAAAGUUUUGAGCCUACACCAAUCUCUGAGGGAGUCCAACUCCUUUCCGGGAUGCCUGCUUCCGAUACCUUAACGGGUUGUUGACGAGAGUCAUAACGGUAACGGCACGAGGGAAUUGAGCGGCGCCCACCUGCUUCCAAGCGGGUUCAACAACUUGACGAUACACGGCGUGGCGGAGCCCUU